rnacentral:lncRNA from 1 species
UGCUGGUAGGCACGAAAGAUUUUAAAUGGACUUGACUAGGAAAGUUGAACCUAAUGAAUUUAAAGGACUUGACGAACUUUGACCUAGUUAGAUCCGUUUAACCUGAUGUCACGACGCUCGGAUAGGUUGAGCAGGGAGAUAUACAUGAGAAUCUACUCGUCACAUUAAUUGAACCCGUACUUGGAACCGUGGCUUAACUUUUCCUCGAUGUGCGGAUUCUGUCCUUAAUUCCGGUUGGAUGGGGCGACUGGUAAAUUCCGAUAAAUUAGGUCUGUAGAAUAUCAUUUUCUUUCUUUCCGUCUGUUAGCCAUAUGUUGUCUCCUUUGCGUGACUUCUAAUCCGACCUGGUACACAACAUAUGCAACUCUAUUUCUCUGCAGGNCGCGACUUCUAAUCCGACCUGGUACAUAGCAUAUGCAACCUUCUUCUUCUCAACCCCUCUAAAGUAGUUAGCAAUAGAAUUCUGAAUCUCUUCUCUCUCUGAAUGGUUGUCUGCUCACCCGAUGUAAGGAGUACUCUGGAAGUUCUUGAUGGCUGGGGUAUAUCAUGAAGCGGGAAACACGUUCCAGUACACUUAAAAUUGAACUCAUACAGAUUGUCUGUAGAUCUCGCUGCUCGAUUUAGGUGGACAACAAUAUCCCUAGUUGUAGUCAGUUAAAUGGUCAUAAGGUGAAUUUAUUUAAGAUUUAGGAGGUAUCAUAAUUACAGAAAUUUACAAUUAGAUAUAUGUCUGAAUCAUGUCAUUGGUAAAAUGUCCAAAAACGUCACAAAUCUUUCGUGUUUAAGUGGACCACAAUACUGGCAAUCGGUCAGACGAAGAUGUGAAGAUAAGGGUACUGACAA